AGGUGUGGUGGUGCAUGCCUCCUGUUGUAGCCAUUAGUAGGUUAAGACAGGAGGGUCAGAGUUUGAGGCCAGCCUGGACAUAUCAGAGACCCGCACAAAAAGUCUUCAAACCCCAAUCUCUUCCUCCCCUACAAAUUCAAUUUGAUUUUGUACCUUCUUUUCUAACGAGCAUUUUUACUUUGCUCUUGGAGAUUGAAGUUUUAGAAGCAUCUCAUACCUUGGCUGUCAAUCACAGAUAUAAGAAAGUAUCAUUACAUCAUCACAUCUUAGUUCUGUGGGACUUCGAUUCUGUGGCAGUCUGGAGUGGAUAAGAACCAGCAAGGUGAAGCCAGCAAAUACGUGUGUGCUAGAUAUUUCUAAGACCAUUUUUAAAAUUUUCUCAUUUUGUUCUUUUAGUGUGAUAUCUUGUGAUCUGACUAAUUGUUUUCCCUCUACAAACUUUUAGGCUUGCUAGUAGAUUUUUUUUUUUUUUGUUCUGUUUUUAAGCACCGAGUACCAAGAUUUUGAAGAUCAUGGCCCAUCCUAUGCAGUCAAGAGUUGAGUGUGGCUGACUUCGAAUGUAAAGACUCUUCAGAAGCUUCAUGUGUCCUGCACAUUGAAGCCUGCAUUAAACCCUCUCACAUAAGUAAUGCUCAAAGGGGCUGAAGCCCAUUAAUACAGUCAUUUGUCUCUCU
rnacentral:lncRNA from 1 species